rnacentral:rRNA from 1 species
AUUGAACGCUGGCGGCAGGCCUAACACAUGCAAGUCGAGCGGAGCGGCGGACGGGUGAGUAAUGCCUAGGAAUCUGCCUGGUCGUGGGGGAUAACGUCCGGAAACGGGCGCUAAUACCGCAUACUAUCCGAUGAGCAUAGGUCGGAUUAGCCAGUUGGUGGGGUAAAGGCCUACCAAGGCGACGAUCCGUAACUGGGCUGAGAGGCUGAUCAGUAACACUGGAACUGAGACAAGGUCCAGACUCCUACGGGAGGCAGCAGUGGGGAAUAUUGGACAAUGGGCGAAAGCCUGAUCCAGACAGGCGGGGUGUGUGAAGAAGGUCUUCGGAUUGUAAAGCACUUUAAGUUGGGAGGCGGUACCAACAGAAUAAGCACCGGCUAACUUCGUGCCAGCAGCCGCGGUAAUUUC